CCCGGAAUGCUUGUUUGGAACGCCAUGGUCAGCCAUAAGUGCUUCGUUAUCACUACAGAUUGAACCGCGGUGCCAUUAGCUAGUGGUGAGGUACGCUCACCAAGGGCAACGAUGCGUAGCGACUGAGAAGGGGUGAUCGACACACUGGAACUGAGGACACGGCCAGACUCUACGGGAGGCAGCAGUAGGGAAUCUUCCGCAAUGGACGAAAGUCUGACGGAGGCACGCCGCGUGAGUGAUGAAGGUUUUCGGAUCGUAAAGCUCUGUUGUUAGGGAAGAACAAGUGCCGUUCAAAUAGGGCGGCACUUGACGGUACCUAACCAGAAAGCCACGGCUAACUACGUGCCAGCAGCCGCGGUAAUACGUAGGUGGCAAGCGUUGUCCGGAAUUAUUGGGCGUAAAGGGCUCGCAGGCGGUUUCUUAAGUCUGAUGUGAAAGCCCCCGGCUCAACCGGGGAGGGUCAUUGGAAACUGGGGAACUUGAGUGCAGAAGAGGAGAGUGGAAUUCCACGUGUAGCGGUGAAAUGCGUAGAGAUGUGGAGGAACACCAGUGGCGAAGGCGACUCUCUGGUCUGUAACUGACGCUGAGGAGCGAAAGCGUGGGGAGCGAACAGGAUUAGAUACCCUGGUAGUCCACGCCGUAAACGAUGAGUGCUAAGUGUUAGGGGGUUUCCGCCCCUUAGUGCUGCAGCUAACGCAUUAAGCACUCCGCCUGGGGAGUACGGUCGCAAGACUGAAACUCAAAGGAAUUGACGGGGGCCCGCACAAGCGGUGGAGCAUGUGGUUAAAUUCGAAGCAACGCGAAGAACCUUACCAGGUCUUGACAUCCUCUGACAAUCCUAGAGAUAGGACGUCCCCUUCGGGGGCAGAGUGACAGGUGGUGCAUGGUUGUCGUCAGCUCGUGUCGUGAGAUGUUGGGUUAAGUCCCGCAACGAGCGCAACCCUUGAUCUUAGUUGCCAGCAUUCAGUUGGGCACUCUAAGGUGACUGCCGGUGACAAACCGGAGGAAGGUGGGGAUGACGUCAAAUCAUCAUGCCCCUUAUGACCUGGGCUACACACGUGCUACAAUGGACAGAACAAAGGGCAGCGAAACCGGGAGGUUAAGCCAAUCCCACAAAUCUGUUCUCAGUUCGGUCGCAGUCUGCAACUCGACUGCGCGAAGCUGGAAUCGCUAGUAAUCGCGGAUCAUCAGGCCUAGCUAAGCC
rnacentral:rRNA from 1 species